CCUACGGGAGGCAGCAGUGGGGAAUAUUGGGCAAUGGGCGCAAGCCUGACCCAGCAACGCCGCGUGAAGGAAGAAGGCUUUCGGGUUGUAAACUUCUUUUAUUGAGGACGAAACAAAUGACGGUACUCAAUGAAUAAGCCACGGCUAACUACGUGCCAGCAGCCGCGGUAAUACGUAGGUGGCAAGCGUUAUCCGGAUUUACUGGGUGUAAAGGGCGUGUAGGCGGGACUGCAAGUCAGAUGUGAAAACCAUGGGCUCAACCCAUGGCCUGCAUUUGAAACUGUAGUUCUUGAGUGAUGGAGAGGCAGGCGGAAUUCCGUGUGUAGCGGUGAAAUGCGUAGAUAUACGGAGGAACACCAGUGGCGAAGGCGGCCUGCUGGACAUUAACUGACGCUGAGGCGCGAAAGCGUGGGGAGCAAACAGGAUUAGAUACCCGAGUAGUC
rnacentral:rRNA from 1 species